rnacentral:lncRNA from 1 species
UCUUCUUGACCAUGACUUGCAAUCCUAAAUGGGAGGAGAUAACGAAUGAGUUGCUGCCUGGUCAGACGGUGCAAGACCGACCUGAUAUUGUGGCUCGCGUGUUCUACGGCAAGCUAGAGGCUAUGAAGGACAUGUUGUUCAAGAAGCAUAUCCUGGGUGUUGUUGUCGCAUAUGUAUACGUAGUCGAGUUCCAAAAAAGGGGCCUCCCCCACGCACAUUUUUUGUUGAUUUUGGACUCUAAAUAUAAGCUUAUCGUCCCGGAGCAGUAUGACCGACUCAUUUCCGCAGAGCUCCCAGACAAGCAUAAGUAUCCGGAAUUGUAUGCUAUGGUGGUAAAACAUAUGAUGCACGGACCAUGCGGUGCUCUCAACCCGAAGAAUGUUUGCAUGCAAGAAAACAGAUGCAAGUGCAGAUACCCACGGCCGUUCAAUGAAAACACAUCACAGGGGAAGGACUCGUACCCAAUUUAUCGGCGUAGAGACGAUGGAAGGCGUGCUAAGGUCCGAGGGAAGAUGUUGGACAACAGAUGGGUUGUGCCUUAUAACCCAUACCUGCUGCGGAUGUUCAAUUGCCACAUCAACGUUGAGGUCUGCUCCAGCAUAAAGGCCGUCAAAUAUCUUUACAAGUACAUUUACAAGGGCCAUGAUAAGGCUUCUUUCAACAUCGACCAUCCCGACGCCGGUGGUAACAUUGAUGAGAUCAAGAGAUACGUUGAUGCAAGGUGGAUCGCCCCUCCGGAGGCUAUGUGGAGGAUAUUUGGCUUUCCACUUUGCGCCAAUUACCCACCUGUCUUGCAGUUGCCUCUUCAUCUCCCGAAUAUGCACAGGGUCGCAUUCAAUGCGCAGGCUGACUUGAAGAAUGUUGUCGCCUCCGAAAAUAAUUCAAAAUCCAUGUUAACGGAGUAUUUCAAGGCUAACCAGGAACACCCUCGGGCUAGGCAUAUAUUGUACAAGGAUUUUCCCGGAAGCUUCACGUGGCAGAAGAAAAAGAAGUUUUGGAAGCCGCGGGUCGAGCGUUUUCAAAUAGGUCGCAUCGUGUCUGCCAAUCCUGCCGAGGGUGACCGAUACUACCUGCGUGUGUUGCUAAACCAUGUUACGGGCAAAACAUCCUUCGACGACUUGCUCACCGUGGACGGCGUUCUAUGUGGGAGCUUUAGAGAAGCUGCUGAAAGGUUGGGACUCAUCGAGGCAGACAACACGCUCGACAACUGUCUUACUGAGGCUGAGCAGUGGGCGAUGCCAUGUUCUCUUAGGAGGCUCUUCGCAACCAUCUUGGUGCACUGCGAGCCAAGCGACGUGCGUGGUUUAUGGGAUAGGCACCUCGAUCCUAUGUCAGAUGACUCUCGUCGAUCACGCACGUCCCCUAUCGAGGUGGAGCAGAUGGUGUUGCUUGACAUUAGGGGUAUGUUGCAGUCCAUGGGUAAAGACAUUGUUGAUUUCGCUCUUCCAAGCAUAGAUGAUGCGUUUGACCCAACCGAGGGUGAGGCAAGAGAGGUCAUCGAGGAAUCAACUGUUGAGUUUGACGUGGAUGAUACUAAAUUGGCAUCUUCCCUAAACUUGGAGCAGAGGGCCGCAUAUGACGAGAUACUAGCGGCUGUUGAACGCGGUGAUGGGGGUGUAUUCUUUGUUGAUGGCCCUGGAGGUACAGGGAAGACCUUUCUAUACAGGGUGAUGCUUGCCAAGGUGAAGAGCGAUGGCAAUAUUGGUAUCGCUACCGCGACGUCGGGCGUCGCCGCUUCUAUCAUGCCUGGCGGCAGGACUGCCCACUCGAGGUUCAAGAUCCCAUUGAGUUGCGAUGAUGGAGCCUCGUGCAGCUUCACGAAGCAGAGUGGGACCGCCAAGCUGCUUAGGAUGGCCUCAUUGAUAAUAUGGGAUGAGGCCAGCAUGACGAAACGACAAGCGGUCGAGGCAUUGGACAAUAGCAUGCGCGACAUCAUGGGAAUACGCGACCGACCCUUUGGAGGAAAGACUGUUGUUUUUGGCGGGGACUUUAGGCAGGUGCUUCCGGUCGUCAGAAGGGGGUCGCGGGGCCAGAUAAUUGAUGCAACCCUACGAAGUUCUCAUCUAUGGAAGGGUAUGCGGCAGCUUCGGCUCAUCACCAACAUGAGGGCUCAUAAUGACACGUGGUUUGCAAAUUACUUGCUAAGGGUCGGCAAUGGCACUGAGGAAGUCGACGAUCAAGGCAACAUACUACUCCCUGAAGACAUUUGUCUGCCGUCUACAGGCGAGGUUGACGACCUGGAGAAGCUUAUUCACCACGUGUUUUCGAGUCUAGAUGACAACAUGUCUGAUUCAAAUUACAUGACAUCCCGAGCAAUCCUUUCCAUGACAAACGACAAUGUCGACAAGAUAAACAUCCGCAUGAUAGAGCGUUUUCAGGGAGAUGAAGUAAUAUACCAUAGCUUUGACAGUGCGGAGGACGACCCAUAUGGCUACUACGCUCAGGAGUUUCUGAAUGGAUUGACUCCUAACGGUCUUCCUCCGCAUGCACUCAAGCUAAAGUUGAACUGCCCUGUCAUACUUCUAAGGAACAUUGAUCCAGCAAAUGGAUUGUGUAACGGCACUAGGCUUGUUGUUAGAGGUUUUGAGAGGAACACCAUUGAUGCAGAAAUCGUGAUUGGACAACACGCUGGCAGGAGGGUCUUCCUUCCUCGAAUACCUCUCUGCCCAUCUGAAAACGACAUGUUUCCGUUCAAGUUUAAGAGGAAGCAAUUUCCUAUAAGGCUUAGCUUUGCUAUGACCAUUAACAAGGCUCAAGGGCAGACAGUCCCGAUUGUUGGUGUCUACCUACCCAAUCCCGUGUUCUCUCAUGGUCAACUCUAUGUUGCUUUGUCUCGAGCCACCGCAAAGAGAAACAUAAAGAUACUCAUUCAGAAGGAGAAGCCGAAGGAGAAGUCCAACAAGCAAAAGGACAAUCCAAAGAAGCGAAAAACACCGACCGUGUCAUUACUAACCUCGAUGAAGAACAUCGUCUACAAGGAAGUCCUUACAGGCUGAAGUCCGGUCUUAAUAGACCGGCAGGUUAUGUAAUGACACAACAUUUACUCUUGUGAUGGUCAAGAUUUAUUUUAAUUCGUUUUUUUACAUAUAUCUUUUUUAUUUGGUAUUUUGAUAGUUGGAGGUAUACUCCAUUUAGUUGAGCUACUAACUGCAUUUCAAUAAUCAGCCGUCAUGUUGGCACCAUCAUCGUUGUUAUAUCUUUUCUACUAUCGCAAUGUUUCUGGGAGUGUACAUGUCACCCACCGUAGUAUUUCAUGUGUAAUAUGUGAUUCAGAUAUAAUGAUUGGCCUGAAAAAUACCUGGAACAUGCAAUGAAACUUUUGUGUUACGGCAAGUGAUCAUAUCCAUUGUUAUUAUUUUGAUAUUUUGAUAAUAUGGUUGAAUGUAAAUUUAUUGGCGUCCUUAUUAUCCCUGUAUUAUUCUGAUAGGUCAGAAGUAUAUGAUUAUGAUUGGUCUGAAUUAUAAGACCAACACACGCAGAAGGGAAGUUUGUGUAGCUUUUCAAGAUAUAUUUUGCAUAUGUACAUCUAAUAAAUAAUAAAAUGGUAGCAUGCGUACUUGCAAAUAUGUUCAAAUGCCCGUGCGACUCUGGAGAAUGUGACAAUGCACGUGUCUGAUCGCUAAAGUGUGCAAUCUUUGGAAAAAAGAUUGAUUACUUGUACUUUCACGCGUCUGAACUAAUUAUUUAUCAGUUCAGUUCAAGUUUCAUUUUUAUUUUUUGCAUUGGUUCAUGUACCUUCAUGAGUUUACUGCGGAUCUGAAAGAGUUCUAACCUAUAAAAUUGUACAAGGCUGCAUUAAUCUAGGACCUGGCGAGGAUUGGUUCAGAGAGCAAGCAUCGUUCUGCAGUAUCUUAAGGACGCUGGUUGGGCUGAGGGUGGUCGACUUAUAGGUUGCACCCAGCCAAGACGAUUGGCUGUGCAGGUAUCAACUGUUUAAAUGUUCAUCAAAAUGUGUAUCCUUCUCUAGAUGCCAUAUAAUACUAGGUUUCUCUUUUUACCUUCUGAUCAGAGCAUGCACCAGAUUAUUCUUUUGGGUACGUCCCUAGCAACUAGCAUGGCGAGUAAGGAUCUUAGCUAAUUAUCUAGAGCAAGCUUCUGUAUUACUUAUGGAUAUUCUGGUGCAACAUGAAUCAAACCCGGGCAACAUGAAUCUAAGAAAUAAAUUAUUAGAGAUAGAUAACUCCUAAAAGAUAAGCUUGGAGGACUUUCGCAGAGCUCCCAGCCACGAAGAUUUAUCCAGCUUCCCCUUUGUGACCUAGCCGUUUGUGACAGGGUUGCCAUGUGGUAGUGGCCAUAGUGCCCAAAAGUGUGUCUGUAACAGGAGACUUCAUCCUGCAAAAUUAUUCAUGUGCUCCGGCAGUGAUUUCUGACAUCCUAUACGGAGCAGUCAGCUGAUAGAACCAUAUCUGUACUAAUUAGAAGAUGGUAGCUGAACAUUUUGUUUACUGCAUUGGUAUUACUAAUUUCCAUAUGUUUGAAUUUUUUUACAAGGUAGGGGUUGCGUUCUAUUUUACAUUUGUUGUCAAUGUAUUUUUUAUGUAAUACUAUGUCACUACUAUAUAACACUGAUUUUUAGCGUAGAUAUCCAUGAAGCCAGCCUCAUGACACUUGACGAAACACGUGCGUACGUCAAUGGUGUUGUUCAAGCUAGGAACAAUGGAGGCUAGAAGUAUCUGUGUACACAAGUGCACAAUUUGUCUUAGAUAUAAAAAUGUAUGAACGCUUUGCAUGCAACAUUUUGUUGCCAAUUGUCACAUUAUGAAGUGUUCGCUUAUGUCUUGGAGGUUUAAUAAUAUGUGAUAUUCAAUAAAAAAAUCUAUUUAACAGUGUCGUCAUAUUUCGGAGCCAUAUACUGUGAAGUUCAGAACUAUAUAUUUGACUAAUAUAUAUUUGAUGACCAAACUGUCAAUAAUGGACUUCAAAUGGUAACCUGUCUACUCUCAUUUGAGCUACACGUAUGAAUCUCUUUCAGUGUAGGUUCAAAUUUUUUAAUAUACAGUGCAGCGCAAAAAGGAAAAUACGUUUACCUUGACAGAUGCUAUCGCAUGCUAUCAUGCAUUAUGACAUUCCAAAGAUAAUAUAAUUAAUUUUGUACAUGGAAUCAAGGAUUGCCGUAUGCCCGUGCGUUGUGUUUCUUUCUACACACGGAAACAAUAGUUCUUCAAGUGGCGCGGGCUUUUUGAUCGUGGUGAGGAGGACAAAAACAGAAGAAGAAAAAACGUUGUGUUUCUUUAUAUUUCUCGGACGCCCGUGUUUGACGUAUAUUUGGGAAAUAAAUUAAUUGUUUCUUUCUAUAUAUCUGGAGGCAAAGUUUGGAAAGGAGACAUAAAUUAGGAAAUAUAUAAUCCGGCGUUGAUACAUUUGCCGGGUGGAGCAUGCAACCAAAAUAAUUUUAUUCCAUGUUUUCCUAUAGUUUUUGUUAUGGAAUAUUGUAACUACGGAAGGAUAUGGGCCACCUUCCGAGUACAUGCCCACGAUUCCUCCCGGCCAGGAUAUGUCAAUUAGAACUAUAAUUAUCCUUAAAGUCAUUUCCUUCCAAAACGUUAUAGUGUCCAAUCUCCCGGUCCAGCCUACCAUACGUUCAAUGGGUUUCCCAGUGUGGCCAUUAAUAUUCCCUUAAUCGGAUUUGUUUAUAAGGAAAGUUAAAUUAUGCUUCUUCCGAUCGGGAAAGGGAGACAUAUAUAAUAGAUAUAUAAUCCGGCGUAUAUUUAUUUGCCCAGUGGAGUAUGGAAGAAAAACAUAUGCUUGUCCUUUUAUUAGCAAGGAUUUGUAAUGAAACAUGCACGGAUGGAAUGAUAAGGGGCACCUUCCAAUCCAUACAACAUGCUAAUGCGUCACCGACCUGGUGCCGGACGAUUCCCCUCCGACACUCAUAUAUAUGGUCCGGCUGUGAGUCCACCGUUGUCCACUGCCCCCUCGCUCGCUCGUCCUGGUGCUAAGACGACUUUCUGCCCGUGCCAAUGGCUGCAAUGCCGAUUUUUGAUGGAGUGAACGACGCAGUCGAGUACAUAUACAACUACGUCAUGCUUUCCUCAGUCGAGGAGCAGUUAGAGUUUGUUCUGGCAGCCCUAAACUCUAUCUAUAAUUUAUUUGCAAUUGUUAGCUGCAGAUCAGUACCAUUAUAUUAUGCAUUAUCGGCUUCUUAUUUUAAACCCGAGUAAAAAUCUGUUCUUUCACCUAAUCCACGUCGAUGGGUUGGUCACGUUCAUGAGUUGUUGCAUGCAUGCACUGGUUAGGAUCAUGCGAUCCUUUCUAAGUCCAUAAGGUUCUUAAGAUCUAACGUAGUGGUUGCAAAAAUCUGGUCAUGCGCUAAUAUUAUCCUUUUACAUUACGCCAUGUUAGUACCAUCCACAGCACGUUAUUUUAAACUACAAAUUUUCUAUGAACUGUAGUAUAUUGCAACGGGUCCUGGUGCAUGAUACAUGUACCAUCUAUAGAUUUUAUCAUAACUGUAAUAGGAACAAGUUGCAACCGAACAUAUCAUAAUAGAUUUGGUUAUCUUACGAAAUAGUACUUAUGUCCUCAAAUGACACUACAACUCCAAUUUUUAGGUACAUACAUUUCAGACCUUUCUAAAGUUUUGAAAAAAUAUACUAUUGUUUGCCCACACAUUGAAGUACAAUAUUUUUAUGAUACCCUGAUUUUAUCAUGCCGGUUUGUUUGCAGCACAAUAUGGAUAAGGAGCCCUCGUCCAUUCGUGAUCGAGUUAAGUCUACGGACUAUCCAAGACACCAUGCGAGGUGAUACAUGGGUCAAUCCGAGCUGCUUCGAUCUUGCAGUGCGUAAGCUUAGUAGCGACGCGAUACAAAGGAACGCAGGAACAGACUUUGUUGGCUCCACGCAUAUGUUUGAUUUGCAAUUCCAUGGCCUAGCACGGGUGCUGAGUCAGACUGGCUUAUGCCAAGCUGAACGCACCAACUUGUUGAUUAACAAUGUCAUUGUACGGCCUUUGCCGAAAUACAACGUGCUCAUGACCCCGUCCAUUGUAAGGAUUUUCCUUCUUAAAAGUUGGUGUGUAUACUAUCUGUUCACCAUUAACUUUGUAUACCUAUUGCAGUACCUAUUGCCGUUGUAUUUGGUGGAUUCCUCCUACGGCCUCCUUGCAGUUAAUAUUGAAAAUAGGAGGACUCUCCUGAUUGAUCAUUCUAACGAGUCAUUCCUAGGCUCAGAGGACUUUCAUGACAAGGAACUUAAGAAGGAAGCCCUGAUAGUUCUGAAAGAAUUUGGCAGUGUAUUGCAACAGGAGAGGCCUGGUUUGAAUCCCCAACUCGUGGAUUGGCCACAAGAUCAUACCUAUAUUACAGCCCCGCGGUAAUAGUUUUAAUUGGUCAUGCACAAUACAGCCUCACUGGUAUAGGUUCUAACAUAUGGAGUUUUUUUGUCACAGCCUGGACUCUGGAUUCAAACUCCUACAGGAGAUGGCUCACCAAGAUGAUACUCUCGGGCAUAACAUUUCCAGGACUUCGGUAGGUGCAUAUAUAACAAGUUUCUCUCUUCCAUAUCAUUGUUGAAUAUAAAUUUAUGUUCUUCCACUCACAUAGGUUUGUUGUGCAAUUCAUUCUUCAACAAUUUAUUCCCUACAUAUAUAUAUAUAACAAUUCAUUUUUUUUAUGUUUUCUAGGAUUCAAUACAGCUCAGAAAGAACUUGCUGGUCCAGAUGCUGACGAUCAAAGGCAAUGAAGCAGCUGGAAACAUCCCAGCUGAAAUUACAGCGGCCUUGAGGUUUUUGGACGAAUGACUAUGGACUGAUGCAUAUUGAAAUGUCGCAGAUAUAAUAAGCCAAUAGAGCUUUGUUAGGGAUCAAAUAUCAGAUUUAUCCUUUUGGCAAUAUGAAUAAUGUAUUGGAUUAUAUAUAUGUAGGGAAUAAAUGCUUCGAUGGCACCCUCUAGCUUCGUAUUCGCUUCAACGUUGUCUGCUUGUUUUGGUUCUAUCUAUAUAAUUUGGCUUGUAUGUAUAUUUUGUACUAUAAUACCUGUGCGGUCAGGAGCAGGUUUGUUGCUCCCGGUGAACCGGAGGCAUUUUGAAGGUAAUAAUCUUUUUGAAUGCCCGUGCUGAUCAGAUGAUCAGAUGACAUUUUCUGAAAUAUUUUUAAAGUUUAAAGAGUGAUUGAUGGUGGCAUCCACUAGCUAUGUUGGUUGUAUAUCUAUCUUUCCUUCUAUCUAAAUUUUAUGGUUGUAGACCAGACAGUUUGGACCAGGUUUGCUCCAGGUGAACCUAAGUACUUUUGUGUUGGACCAUGGCAGGUUCACAACAUACUCAAAGUCCGGCAGGUGAUGUUUUCAGAAAUUCCGUGCCUCGCAUCAUAUACUACCUCGUAUAGUAUAACUCCAUCCUAUACGAGGUUUUCUUCAUCGGAAAUAAUCAGCUAGAGAAUAGUCAACAAACAUAUGACGGUCAUACAGGCACCAUAUACUACCUCGUAUAGUAUAACUCCAUCCAUACACGCACUGUUAUAAUACGAGGUUUUCUUCGUCCGAAAUAAUCACAUUCCAGCUAGAGAAUAGUCAAUAAACAUAUGACGGUCAUACGGCACGUACCUUGCAUAUAUUCUUAAAUUUUGAAGUUGUCCUUGAUCUUGCUCUCUCGCCGUUGCCUUUAAUUCCAGCUAGCGAAUAAACGCUGAUUAUCUUUUAUGUGCUCCUGAAUAGAGUAACAAAAAUGAGAAGGAAUAGUUUUUCUUAUUGAUCAGUACCUACAGUAAACAAGUAAAACCACGGUAACAGUAGAUAUGUUAGUGUGCAGGCUGUGAAUUUUAAUGAGUUGCAUACAAAUCAAUGAUAACUUCAUAAUUUAAUGAGUUACAUACACCGCGGGUGCCUUGGUGUAAAAUACGUCCUCAAACCCGUUGCAAGUUGUGAGCAAGUUAGCUAAAUUCCUCAGCGUGCCACUGACUGAAGAGGAGGAUAGAGCUCUGGUGUUGCUAAAGAGGUGGUGAGACUCUCCAGUUUUGAGACACUUACCAGCCUAUAAGUUAACCAGGUUGGGGCCGUUAGCCACGGAAACAAAGUUUAAUUUGGUAAUUCCUGGUUUAUAGGAAAUCAGGAGUAGGGGACUGGGUGAACCACAUGAGCCGCGAGAUGGGCGAGAAGUUAGACUGCAUCAGCCAACAGAAGCUUCAGUGGUUUGGGCUUGUGCUUCAAGUCAAUUUUGUUAUCUGUUCUGCUAUCAAUAUCCAUAAGCACAUUACAGAAUGUUCCCUACUUAUAUCUUACUCAGUCUACUGUAUAAUGUUGUCAAAAAUCUGAUCCCAGUGUUGUGCAACAAGAUUACGAGUGUGUGCAUUUUAUCUGAUACCUGUGUCAACUGUACACCAUAAGCAAGCUGGCAUUUGAAAACUACGGUCUUUUGUAAAGAAAACAAAUUAAGUAACCAUUUGAUCUCAACACAUUUUGCCCGUACACUUUUGCAGGAUCUUCAGCAAGUAGGGGUGAUGAAAAUUAGAUAAAAAAUGUUUUGUUUAGGUUUGGCCCCCUCAGACUUGUCCAUCAACAUUCUAAAACCAUCAACCUUGGGGGUCUUAUCUGAGGUUAAGUGAUUUCAAAGAUGACAGUGGCCUUGUAUUUGACUCAGGCCGGGCUAAGUGGUUUCAAAGGGAACCUGGUGGGCUGGUUGCUGUUGUACUCACAAUAUCACAGACCCCCACACAUAUAUAAUCCCAGGCUUGCAUAUCCGGUGCAGUGAUUGUUCGACAUAAACUUGCGAGUACAGGAACCUACUACUACUAAGGUACUAUACUAAUCAAGUCACAUUUUGUUCAAUUUGCUACCAUGUAGUUGUGUAGAGGAUGUACCUGGCUGGGCAAAGUCGCUCGAGUCUGCUCUGUCUCACCAUCAAAAAUCACCACCGUGGCCGUGUCUUGGCCGUCGGGGAUACGUCUUCGCCCUGGCCCUUCCUGUGAGGCCGGGUCACGGCUCCUCGAUACAUCAGUGAGGAGGAUAUCAGGUCAUGGAAGCAAAAAGGAAGAAUUUUCUUCAAGUUGCUACCAUGUAGAGGAUGUACCUAGCUGGGCAAAUUCGCAGGAGUCUGCUCUGUCACAGAUGGGCUGCAGCAGUUCCACGCCCCCUUGUGACCUACGGCCGCUCGUACUCAGUCGAUGUCGACCUUGCAAAAGAUCGAUGAUGCAUUAGGUGCAUUUGUGUUUUGAUUGUGCAAACAACAAAAUCCGAAGGCUGUUAAUUGCCAUCUUUCAGAAACAAAACAUUUAAGAUUGUUUGUUUGUUAAUUUAACUUGAUUUAUAGUACAUGUUGAACUAAUUAAAUACACAUAAAAUAUAUAGAAAGUUCAUGUUUACCUCUUCAAAUUGAACAAUAUUAAAAAAAGAAUAAAUAUUUAAAUAGACAAAUAAGAUAUUUCGUUUUUAUAUGGGAAGAUUUUAGAAGAACAAACAAGUAACUUAGUGGCAUGCAAUCAAUGAUAAGUUGUUUAUUUAAUUAAUACAACAAUUUAAUUAUUUAGUAAGUUCUGAUUUCUGACAUAUUUUCUAAUUUAUUAAGAGGUGUGCGUUUCAUGAAAAAAGGAAAGAUAUCUGCACCAUACAUAAGUACAUAUCUGAAAAAGGAAAGAUAUCUGCACCAUACAUAAGAAUAUAUCUGAAAAAGGAAAGAUAUCUGCUACCCAACCUUCCCCUGCAUGGCCUACCUAUAUAUGUUAACCUCAUGUGCCAUCCCUCAUCCCCUCCUUACUCUCCCUUCCCCCAUCACAGAUAUCAAAGGAUCAAAAUACCCAGACUUGGAGGACAAAUUCCCGAGGAGUACCUUCUGUAAGCAAGGGGCAUCAAGAAGGCGAG